CUGUGCGUUUGUUUGUGACCCUACUCCUUCUAAACGACUUGAUAGAUUUUUCUGAAAUUUGGUGGGGGUGAUAAGGUCCAUCCGAGACAGGUUUUGUUUUAUAAUUGGACCCAGUAGGUGGCGCUGUUGACAAGUUAUAUGCAAAUUCCGUAUUUGGGGUCGAAUGACUGAACGGAUUUUUGUGAAAUUUUGUGUAUGCGAUAAGGUCUAUCCGAGACAGGUUUUGCGUUAUAAUUGGACCCGGUAGGUGGCGCUGUUGUCAAGUUAUGUAUAUGCAAAUUCCAUAUUUGGGGUCGAAAGACUGAAUAGAUUUUUGUGAAAUUUUGUGUGUGCGAUAAGGUCCAUCUGAGACAGGUAUUGUGUUAUAAUAGGACCCGGUAGGUGGCGCUGUUGUCAAUUUAUAUGCAAAUUCCGUAUUUGGGGUCGAAUGACUGAACAGAUUUUUGUGAAAUUUUGUGUAUGCGAUAAGGUCUAUCCGAGACAGGUUUUGUGUUAUAAUUGGACCCAGUAGGUGGCGCUGUUGACAAGUUAUAUGCAAAUUCCGUAUUUGGGGUCGAAUGACUGAACAGAUUUUUGUGAAAUUUUGUGUGUGCGAUAAGGUCCAUCCGAGACAGGUUUUGUGUUAUAAUUGGACCCGGUAGGUGGCGCUGUUGUCAAUUUAUAUGCAAAUUCCGUAUUUGGGGUCGAAUGACUGAACAGAUUUUUGUGAAAUUUUGUGUAUGCGAUAAGGUCUAUCCGAGACAGGUUUUGUGUUAUAAUUGGACCCGGUAGGUGGCGCUGUUGUCAAGUUUAAUUCAAAAUCCGUAUUUGGGGUCGAAUGACUGGAUAUUUUUUGUGAAAUUUUGUGUGUGUGAUAAGGUUUGCCCCAGACAGGUUUUGUGUUAUAAUUGGACCCUGUAGGUUGCGCUGUAGUCAAUUUAUUUGUGCUCCACAUAUCAACCGAACCGAGUGAACCGGAAAAAGUUUAACACAUUACAGGGCUAAAAUUUGAAAACAAAUACUUGGAAAGGCGGAACGAAGUCCGCCGGGUCAGCUAGUAAUUUAUAUAUAUAUAUAUCCAUUAAAAUGGACUGGCUUUUACAUUUCCAUUUAAACAUUCAGAUUCAUGGCGUGCAUAUCCAUACCAUUACGCGUGGUUGCCUUUUAGUGAAGAAACCAAACAACUUGUCCUUCCUUCGUUAUCCGAUAUGAAUUUUGUAGAGGAACUGUGCAAUGUAUUAGUUUAAGCAAGACAAAGGAUUCGAUAGAAAAUUGUAUUAACGUCAAAUGUCUGUGAUGCGGGGAAAAAUUUUAAGUUUAACUC